CCCCCCUGCCAGGGGACGCGUCUUGCAGUGAGGAAAAUCGGUCCCCUCACUGAUUGCAUCCUUCAUCCCUUCAGGGCAACCAGGGAGACCCAGGACCCCCAGGACCUCCGGGCACCGCUGGCCCGCCGGGCACCCAGGGCCCGUCUGGGAUGAAGGGAGAUCCGGGGGAGCCUGGCUCCAGCAUCCGCGUG